rnacentral:rRNA from 1 species
UACGUAGGGUGCGAGCGUUGUCCGGAAUUAUUGGGCGUAAAGGGCUCGUAGGCGGUUUGUCGCGUCGGGAGUGAAAACUCAGGGCUUAACCCUGAGCCUGCUUCCGAUACGGGCAGACUAGAGGUAUGCAGGGGAGAACGGAAUUCCUGGUGUAGCGGUGAAAUGCGCAGAUAUCAGGAGGAACACCGGUGGCGAAGGCGGUUCUCUGGGCCAUUACUGACGCUGAGGAGCGAAAGCGUGGGGAGCGAACAGG